UAAGGGCACGUUCAAUCUCAAAACGGUGUGCACCAUCUUGCUACGGUUUCCUGGUUGAAAGACGCGUUUCCUUGGAACGGUUCAGAGGAACGGUACAGG